rnacentral:misc_RNA from 1 species
AAAAAUGAGCUUCUUGAGUCCGAAGCAUGGAAGCUGGAUGUGGAGGCCAAUGGUAUGUGGAUACAGAUGGCAUCAAAUAUUAGAGAAGUAGCUAAAAAAGUAGUUGGAGUGUUUAGAGGACAUGGAUCACUCUCAAAAGGGAGAUGGGGGUGGAAUGAGGAAGUAUGAGAGAAGUAGGGAAAGAUAUAAGAAAUUAUCUAAGUGUGAUAAUAACGAGGCGUAUAAACAAUAUAAGAUAGCAAAGAAAGAGAUAAAAAAGACUAUUAGUUAAGCAAGAGCGCAAACUUUUAAAAGGUUAUAUGAGAAACUUGGAACUA